ensembl:lncRNA
AUCUCACUGGAGAUCCCUGUGUACCUGAGGCUUUCUGAAGGUGAUGUAAAGGAGCCAGAUGCCAGCUGUAAUUAAUAAGCAGAGAUUUUCUGUUGAUUAAAAGCUCUCAGCUGGAAUAAAGCAUAUGGAGUUGUCAGAGUAACACAAGCAUGUGAAGCAGAAGCCAUCAGAAGAGGGGCAAAAUCUUAAUCUCUUAAUCCUGCUAGUGUGUAAUGUCCAAUGAAAGACACGUGUUGCUAGGUCACUAGGGUCAUGGUGACUUGCCCAUGGAAUCAUGGAGCUGCAGUUAUUUUCUUGUUUUUCAUUUGUUCCAUUGAUGAGAUGAAGAAUGUAGAGGAGAACAUAACAUGGAAAUAUUUGCACUGUAUUGUUUUUCUGAGUAAUGCUGGUACAACUGGGGAAAAAAGUAAACAAUAUAUGGGUUAUAUGAAACCUCAUUUUCUAAAGUAUUUCUUCUACAUCUACAAAUAUGUGAUGAUCUCCUAAGUUGCCCUUCUCUAUGGGUUUCUCAAGCCACUAGUGUGCAUAUGUUUUCUGUUAAACUGUUUCCCUCUUUCUGCAUUACAGUAGAAGUUAAAGAAAGCAAGCGUGAAUUGGAUGAGAAAAUAGAAUGAAAAUUAGAAUCUUUAUUGAAAAUGUAAAAAUAAAACAUUCUGGGGAAACUUUCAUGGCUGUUCAGAAAGAAAAAGCAUCAGGUUUUAAUUUAUCUUUACUUUUAUAUAAUCUUCUAUUCAUUUCAAAUCACAGAGAAAGGAGCGUUUCUUCAAAGAAGUAAUUGCUCUCAAAGUUGGAAUGUGUCAUUUGUUUGAAGUAUUGUUGAAGACUUUUAAAAUGGGUUUCUUAAUCUUAUGAUUGAUGGCCAAGUGGUAACUAAAAUUUUUGGAAAUUGCAGCGUAAGAAAGAAAUUUAAACCGUUUUCCUAAACAGCAGCCUCUUACCCUUUGGUUUCUGUGCUACCUGCUUUUUUCCACUGGGUGUCUCCACACUACAUAGGAAGAACACGCAGUGUUUCAAAGGGGAAUGCAUGAAUACAGGGAACACGCGAAUGCAGAAAGAUGGUUUGAAAUGCAAUUCAAUGGCAGGUUAGAGAAAAUGGCCUUAUUUAAGCGAAUCCUAUCUUUCAGAUUUGAAAACUUGAGGGGCAGCUGACUUUUACUUUCAUUCACCAAAAUUUUUAAAAAUGUAUAGUGGUACAGAACUCGUGUUGAUCUCACUUUAAGAAAAUGAGAUCUGCCUCUUGGUAUGUCAAUACUCUCAAAGUAGUGCCUCCUAUUUAUUUCCCUGGAAGUUAUAAUAAAUAAGAGGAGCACAAUAAUAUUAUUUGAUAGAACAAAUUCUCAGCUUUGAAACUGUUUUUUCCAAUGAAGUCACCACUGUUAGCCAUGCAUUUUUUGCCAGCAAUGAACAAGAGCCUGCAUGCCCCUUUCAUAAACAUGUGCACCAGUGGAGGUGCCUUGCUGUCACUGCUAUUGAAACACACCACCCACCACCUCACCUUACCUGCAUAUCCACUGUUUGGUCUCCAUAAACAGGCAGCAAGUACUGAUAAAUGCCAAUUGGUGCCAUUUUUUUCUGCAUGGAAGAAUUCAAGUACAUACUUCUGCUUCAUCCAUGCACUUCCAUGUCAAGUGCCUGGGGGUUAAACCAUGACAACCAGAUUGCUGAUAUAGGCAUUUUCCUCAACCCUGACAGACCUACUAUCUCCAGUUUCCUUUCUAAUGAAAAUUAUAUUAAUUAUAGUAGAAGUUGCUGUGGAGUAAGUGAUAAGAAAUGUGGAAAUCCUUUAUUUGUGUACUUCCUGUGCUUUUAAUUGUUUAAUUCAUGCAAGGAUACCAAAAUGCUUCUAAAUAACUUGCUCAGCUUGAAGCUACGUUGCUACUUCCCUAUUGCUUUGGUUACAUUCUUGUCACUUCUGUUGUGCCAACUGGCAGACAGCAUUGUCUCCUUUUGUGGACUUAACCAAUUAGGACACAGAAUGAAAAAAGUAUUUUUGUUUAUAUAAACAAAUGUCUC